rnacentral:lncRNA from 1 species
GGCCCUGAGGGGCAGGAUUGUCGGCUGGUUGCCGACGGUUGACCUUUGAGCAUAUCAGCAUUGACCGCCCGAGACUCGUUCGCAUUUCACGAACACCAGCGGUCUGAUCCACCGCAAGAGGGUGUUCUUUUUCGAAAAAGUGGUUGCAGGUGUCAACCCGUGAGCCCCCGAGGGGUUAUAUGCAUGGUAGAGUGGCAGUGGGCACGCUUGAGGUCUGCGGUGCUGACCAACAGAGCACAGAUUUCGGAUUGGG